rnacentral:tRNA from 3 species
GCGGAUGUGGCGAAAUUGGUAGACGCACCAGAUUUAGGUUCUGGCGGGUGACCGUGGGGGUUCGAGUCCCUCCAUCCGCACCA